UCCAUUCCAUUCCAUUCCUUUCCUUUCCAUUCCAUUCCAUUCCAUUCCAUUCCAUUCCAUUCCAUUCCAUUCCAUUCCAUUCCAUUCCGCUCGAGUCGGGUUGAUUCCAUUCCAUUCCAUUCCAUUCCAUUCCAUUCCAUUCCAUUCCAUUCCAAUCCAUUGCAUUCCAUUCCGUUCCAUUCUAUUCCGUUGCAUUCCAACUGACUCAAUUCCAUUCUAUUCCAUUCCAUUCCGUUCCAUUCCAUUCCAUUCCAUUCCAUUCCAUUCCAUUCCAUUCCA
rnacentral:lncRNA from 1 species